UGAAUUUGUUUGAUCUCUAAUUCUCUACCUACAGAUAUUAGGUACAUAUUACCUACUAGGAAUUUAUUGAACAAAGUUAUGAAUUCCUCCAAAAUAAUAAUUUGUGUGUGGCUUAUUUGCUUCCAAAGGAAAAUUUUAGAAAACACCAAGUGACUAAUUUGGUGUGAAUUGAGACGGCCUAAAAAUAAAAGUGUCCAAUCUCAAAGUCCCUUUUUCUAAUUUACUUCAUUCUGAACUGCUGAAUUGAGUUACCAACUUGUUCGUGACGAGGCAAAGGAAAAUCCGAUUACUAGAUUGCGAAUUUCGACGCCAUUUAAAUUGGGGAAAACCAAGAGAGAGUUUGAAAAAUUUAGUUCAUUACCCUGUUCACUGUUGAUAGAGUCAGUUUGGAUAAUACCAUUAAGCUUAAUACAUUAAACAUGGAUGAUAUCCUUCCACAUGUCUAUGUUUUCCGUCUGUAUCACAAAUGUGCUACAUUACCAUGUCAUGUAAUUUCUUGCUUGAUUGUAAUGAUUAAUUUGCAUUCAGGGUAUGUUUUACCAUUAAUAGAUUUAAGUAGAGUAUCUAUCUACCCAUAAUAUGUAUAUUUUCUAUCUUUAUCAUUUCAUUACAAACUGUUGCAAGCAAGUUGAUCAAAUACAAAUUACCCAUUAACUAGCCUUAUCGAAGCACGUAGUCACUUGGUAGGUAGAUACAAAACAUCAAGAUCAUUAAAGUAGGUUCAUCAGUUUGGUUGCGCGGCGCGAUGCGCCCGAGGCCCCGCGAUCACCGGUUCGUCAUCCACGUUUACUUGGCCGCAUAACUGUUUUUUCUCCGAUCCUCGCCCACAUACAAAAAGCGAUGAGCCUUCAUCAUUAUUAAAGCACAACAGAAAUGAGCGGCAACAUGGCGCAGCAGGCGGCGUGCGACGUUGCCGCGCCGCACGCUCGGCUGACUCGUCACGUGACGUCACGUCUCAAGAUGGCCGCCACACCGGUCGCGUCCCCCCGCUCCCGUCUUCCAACCGGAUCCGCUCUUGUUACUCGGUAAUAAUAAUUUAGAAUGCAGCCGGCCGAAAGGAAACCGACCGAGAAUAGAUCGAAAUUUAAUGCAUCGAACACGUCCAUGUAACGUUCGCAGUAAAUAAUUGAUAUUCUACAACAGAAGCAGUUUACUUUCAUUGAAUUAAUAUUAUAGAGGAAAUGAGGGCCCCAGAUAACGCACAGUGAAUUAGAGAAUUGUGUUGUGAUUCAACCACUGCUCUACCAUUUGUUAAAAUCAUUCAAAAUUGUUUCGCACUGUGCAGCGCUUGCAGUAUGUAUUUUUGGUUGCUUUUAGUGUAAUCAUUCGUCUGCAUCAGUUGAGACGUGCAUCAAGUGCACACGUAUGGUUAUCGCGCGAUAAGCGCUUGUGUGGGGCGCUUGGCGCA